UACGAAGGGGGCUAGCGUUGCUCGGAAUCACUGGGCGUAAAGCGCACGUAGGCGGAUUGUUAAGUCAGGGGUGAAAUCCUGGAGCUCAACUCCAGAACUGCCUUUGAUACUGGCGAUCUCGAGUCCGGGAGAGGUGAGUGGAACUGCGAGUGUAGAGGUGAAAUUCGUAGAUAUUCGGAAGAACACCAGUGGCGAAGGCGGCUCACUGGACUGGUAUUGACGCUGAGGCGCGAAAGCCAGGGGAGCAAACGGG
rnacentral:rRNA from 1 species